UCGCAUUGCUCCCCGUCAGAAACCCUAGAUCAGAUCCAGGACGAAUGGCCGAUACCGUAGUUCCGAUUCUGGAGACGACAGGAUGGAUAUUGCGUCCCCCAAAGAACAUGAUGAUGAAAGUGAGUAUUUUGCUUCAUGGGUAGUUAGGAAGCAACUAUACCCGGAGACUGUCAACUGGAUACCGCCGGUUCGGAUCUUCCGGUACACAGCUAUCUUUGAGGAGGCCUGGGGUUGGGACCGGCUACUGCCACAUACCAGUGUUCCGAUCCCCACGUACGGAGUAUCACAAGCGCAAUCGCAUGGAUUACGUUGCUGCUGCCGCUGGCAACUCAAAACCUGAAGACUGGCCGCUCAAAUACCGAGCAGUGAAUAAUGAUACCCAAUUCGACCCGGAUGCGUCACUUGUAGAUGCCGCCCAGUUUUGUCUGAAAAUGGAGGAGCGUUUCAUGUUGGCAUGGCAUAACAAACGCGUCCGCAAUGUGAAACAUCUGAGCCAAUUGAUACAGGAGCGAGCCCGUGCCAUCAUCUCCACUAGUGAAGAAUUCUCUGAAACUGCUGCUGCUAGCUUGGUGUGUAUCUCCAAUGAGGCUGUUUUGGCGUCUGAGCUUCUGCACCGUUGGGCUAAAUCCACUGACGAGGAAAUCAGAUUAUGCAACCUCAUCCGCCACUGUGCACUGAAUUUAAUGCACAUUACUGGGCCUGAAUCUGCUGCCUCCAUUGCUGCCAUGGUGGGUGUUGCUAAGGAGGCCAGGCUAAUGUGCCAGUGGAUGGGGCAAACAAAGAAACUUUAUGCCUACCGCUCUUACAAUCAUCCACCCCAUGAGAUGUAUCUUUGCGACAUGAUCCGUGAGGCCGUCCUUAAGGUUAUGAGCCACGUACUGAACAAUUACUCAAGGGGCAACAAUACUUACAUGGUAAUGGAUUUUCAAAAGAAGAACAGGAAGCGAAAGACCAAGGUGGAAACCUCAGACGACGAGUUAUCACAGGCGUCACUUGAUGAACAGGCGCCACUUGAUGAACGGUCACCAAAAGCCAAUGCGGUAACCUUAAAUGAGAAGUAUCACAGACGGUCUUUCCUCCUGUUGUAAACAAAACUGGCAUCCAGAUUGAACAGGCGCCACUUGGUGAACGAGAGAAGUACAUUGUUGAGCUGGAAAGGAAGUUGAGUGAAAGGGAUAGAGAAUUGGAAGCUUUGAAGUUUGAUCAUAAAAAGGCAGGAUCUUCUUGCAGUGCAGACGAAAUAGCUUGCAAAAGACAGGUACGUCUGUUGCCUUUUGGUGCUUUCCCCUCGAAAAGGAAAUUCACAGUUCAGAAUUUUAGUUGUGCAGCUUAUAUACCUUAAUAGUUUAAAGUAUCCAGAGCUGUGGUACUGGGAAUUAUGAAGUUGGCUGUUGUUGUGAUAACCUUGCUAUGUAUGUUUUUGGACAAAAUGAACCAACACACCGCAUGUUAGUUUUGAGGUAUAACCUUGCUGAAGAAUGAUGAUUGUAGUGCCAUGGAGCGCGAAGCGAGGAUGCUCAGGGAGAACACUUACUUUGAUGUGGAUCUGUGCAGCGGCGGACGAUGCUACCGCAAGCUGAUGGUGCCUGGGCUUAGUGGAGGAUGUUUGGGACCUUGUUUGUGCGUUUUAUCUUCAGCUCUGAGCAUCCCCUUUCUUUCAGACUUUAUUCUCUAUUGCUGGUGUCGUCUGCUUUUCGCCCCAUAACAAUUGUUUUGAUGGUGAGCAUUUUCUGUGGGUUUCCUUGUGAUGCUUUUUACUCGCUCCCCCGUUUCUUAGAGCAUCUCUAGCAGAUCCGGUAUAUGCCUGUCCUGUAAAAUCGUUUUAUCCCACGCCAAUUCCCAUCAUAUGCCAAACAAGGGAAUGGGAGUAAAAAUCUACUUCCCAUGCCUAAUCCCUUCAUAAA